ensembl:snoRNA LOC120096395 small nucleolar RNA SNORA17
GCUUCCCCUAGAGGCUUUGUAGGUGUGGCUGCUGCAUCACGUGUGUUUCAGUAGGUGGUAAAGAGGAGAAAGACCAUGUCUGUGCUCAGUGUUCUGACCUGUGAACAUCUGAAUGAUUAGUAGUUUAAUUUC